GCCUCGGCCCGGGCAGCGUGUGGAGGGGAAGGGACGAGGUUCAGUUCCUGCCCCUCGCUUUCCCCUUCGGGAUAGCCGCACACGGGGUGGGGGGAACCGGGCACCACCAAGCCAGGCUGCUCCUACCCUCCCUCCUUCCUUCCUUCCUUCCUCCCCUGCACAUCUCAGCCUCCUCCUCCUCCUCCAUCCAUCCAUCCCCGGGGGUGAGCCUUUGAAUGAGCAGCACUGUGGCUAGCCCGAUGUCAACAGUUGCCUCUUCAAGCAGUGGAAGGAAAUCAACAAGCUUUACACCUGAAUUGCAAAGUAUGAUCCUGUACCUUGAAGACCAUCAGUGUGGAUGCAGGAAUGGGCCACGUACAGCAUUCCUGAAGUUACUGGAAUUCAUCUGAUGUGCAGGGAAGUAGCUGUGAGGACACAGUUGUAGGAAGAAAACCUUAAAUAUCUGCCUAAACUGGAUGCUUUUCUGAUAUCAGAAUUUUGUAAAAAUACAUAGUUCAAGUAAAUGGGUGGCCAUAUUUAUCUUUCAGGCUUGUGGCAACAUGAAUCAUCAGCUUGAUAAUACAUUACUUAAACUGAAUUAAGAGGCUGAACUAUGUUCAGCCGUAAUGCCCAUAUUGUAUCUGGUAACAUUCUGAAUGAAGUGCAUUAAAAGCUACCUUUUCCCUCCCCUUUGUGUGUAACUUGAAUAUAUAUAGUAUAAAUUAAACCAAGUUUCUUAAUUAGCUCAUAAGGUAGGCUUCAUAUAAAAAAUCAAAAUUUGAUGUUUCAAGGUUAUAAAGAUAAAUUUAAUGAUGGAGGUAAUGGAGAAAAUGUUUUUAUAGGGUUUAUGUAAGGCUUUCUGGUUAUUCAAUAUAUUUGCCAUAGUUAGUAUUAAAACAAUAGUAUCCAUUAAUAUAAUAUCCAAUUUAGUAUUGCUGCUAAUUGAUUGAUUAUUUCUUUCCAGACAGUGAAAGUCAGUUCAGUUAUUUCAAGUGCAGUUCUUAUUUCAACUUUCUCCAGCUUGUAGCUUAUACCCAUCUCUAUAUACUCCAACGUUGUCUUAGUGUGCAGUAGAGGUCUUAAUAAA